CAUUACACUAAUCUGCCAAAGUAACAAUGAUAUUCUUCUAAUAAAACUAUCAUAGUAAACAUUUGGUCCUUUCGUACUAAAAUAUUUAAUUUUAUUAAAGAUAGAAUCCAACCUGGCUCACACCGGUUUAAACUCAGAUCAUGUAAAGUUUUAAAAGUCGAACAGACCUAAUAUUUUAACUUCUACAUUAAAAAUAAACUUUAAUCCAACAUCGAGGUCGCAAUCUCUUUUAUCGAUUAGAACUCUCUAAAAAAAUUACGCUGUUAUCCCUAAGGUAAUUUAAUCUUAUAAUCAGAAAAACUGGAUCAUAUAAUCAUAAAUAAAUGUUUUUUUAAAAAAAAGUUUAUUAAAUUUUUCAAUCACCCCAACUAAAUAUUCAUUAAAAAAUUCUAUAUUUAAUAUCUAAUAAUAAAAUAUUUAAAUAAUAUAAAAUUCUAUAGGGUCUUCUCGUCUUUUAAAAAAAUUUAAGCUUUUUAACUCAAAAAUAAAAUUCUAAAAUUUAAAUUAAGACAGUUACUAUUUCGUCCAAUCAUUCAUUCCAGUUCCUAAUUAAGAAACUAAUUAUUAUGCUACCUUUGCACAGUUAAAAUACUGCAGCCAUUUAAUUAUUCAUUGGGCAGAUUAGACUUAAAAUUAUAAUCAAUAAGACAUGUUUUUGAUAAACAGGCG
rnacentral:rRNA from 1 species